GUGGGGAAUAUUGGACAAUGGGCGAAAGCCUGAUCCAGCCAUGCCGCGUGUGUGAAGAAGGUCUUCGGAUUGUAAAGCACUUUAAGUUGGGAGGAAGGGUAGUAACCUAAUACGUUGCUACUUUGACGUUACCGACAGAAUAAGCACCGGCUAACUUCGUGCCAGCAGCCGCGGUAAUACGAAGGGUGCAAGCGUUAAUCGGAAUUACUGGGCGUAAAGCGCGCGUAGGUGGUUCAGUAAGUUGGAAGUGAAAUCCCCGGGCUCAACCUGGGAACUGCUUUCAAAACUGCUGAGCUAGAGUACGGUAGAGGGUGGUGGAAUUUCCUGUGUAGCGGUGAAAUGCGUAGAUAUAGGAAGGAACACCAGUGGCGAAGGCGACCACCUGGACUGAUACUGACACUGAGGUGCGAAAGCGUGGGGAGCAAACAGGAUUAGAAACCCGGGUAGUCC
rnacentral:rRNA from 1 species